AGUGAACGCUGGCGGCAGGCCUAACACAUGCAAGUCGAGCGGCAGCGCGGGGGCAACCCUGGCGGCGAGCGGCGGACGGGUGAGGAAUUCGUCGGAAUCUGCCUUUUUGUGGGGGAUAACGUAGGGAAACUUACGCUAAUACCGCAUACGACCUACGGGUGAAAGUGGGGGACCGCAAGGACUCCCGCAGAAAGAUGAGCCGACGACCGAUUAGCUAGUUGGUGGGGUAAAGGCCCACCAAGGCGACGAUCGGUAGCUGGUCUGAGAGGAUGAUCAGCCACACUGGGACUGAGACACGGCCCAGACUCCUACGGGAGGCAGCAGUGGGGAAUAUUGGACAAUGGGCGCAAGCCUGAUCCAGCCAUGCCGCGUGUGUGAAGAAGGCCUUCGGGUUGUAAAGCACUUUUGUCCGGAAAGAAAUCUUCCAACUUAAUACGUUGGGAGGAUGACGGUACCGGAAGAAUAAGCACCGGCUAACUUCGUGCCAGCAGCCGCCGUAA
rnacentral:rRNA from 1 species